rnacentral:tRNA from 1 species
CGGAUUAGAGCUUGUAUAAAGCAUUUUAUUUACACUAAAAAGUUAGUUGUGCAAAUCAAUUUAAUUUGA